rnacentral:lncRNA from 1 species
GUGACAAGUGGCAACCGACGAACUCCUCGUGUGUCUGCAGCGCUCAUUUCGAAGCCAGCAGCUUCGAACAGAACCGCGCGGAUGGGUGGAAGAAGCUCAAGCCUAAUGCUGUACCAACGGUGUUCCCAUUCAAAGAACUUCCUAAAGAGCGAAGGCCACCAAGGGAACGAAAUGCACACGUGCCUGCAUUAUUCAGUGACGACGCAGCCGCACACAAUUCUUCACGAGAAGUGAGAAACGUUCUUCCCUCAACUACGCAGGAAUUUUCUCCCGCUGAUUCUUCGUCAGACGGGGAGAUAAAUGAGAGAUUGGCGGCUACGGAAACCAACAAUGCUAAUGGGCAACUUAC